rnacentral:rRNA from 1 species
GACGGAGGGUGCAAGCGUUGUUCGGAUUGACUGGGCGUAAAGGGCGUGUAGGCGGUUGGUCAAGUCUGAUGUGAAAGCCCGGGGCUCAGCCCCGGAAGGGCAUCGGAAACUAGCCAGCUGGAGCGCGAUAGAGGGAGGGUGGAAGUUCCUGGUGUAGCGGUGAAAUUCGUAGAUAUCGGGAGGAACACCAGUGGCGAAGGCGGCGACCUGGACGGA